GAUGGACGCUGGCGGCGUGCCUAAUACAUGCAAGUCGAGCGAACGGACGAGAAGCUUGCUUCUCUGAUGUUAGCGGCGGACGGGUGAGUAACACGUGGAUAACCUACCUAUAAGACUGGGAUAACUUCGGGAAACCGGAGCUACUACCGGAUGAUAUUUUGAACCGCAUGGUUCAAAAGUGAAAGACGGUCUUGCUGUCACUUAUAGAUGGAUCCGCGCUGCAUUAGCUAGUUGGUAAGGUAACGGCUUACCAAGGCAACGAUGCAUAGCCGACCUGAGAGGGUGAUCGGCCACACUGGAACUGAGACACGGUCCAGACUCCUACGGGAGGCAGCAGUAGGGAAUCUUCCGCAAUGGGCGAAAGCCUGACGGAGCAACGCCGCGUGAGUGAUGAAGGUCUUCGGAUCGUAAAACUCUGUUAUUAGGGAAGAACAUAUGUGUAAGUAACUGUGCACAUCUUGACGGUACCUAAUCAGAAAGCCACGGCUAACUACGUG
rnacentral:rRNA from 1 species